rnacentral:rRNA from 1 species
UACGUAGGGCGCAAGCGUUGUCCGGAAUUAUUGGGCGUAAAGAGCCCGUAGGCGGCUUGUCACGUCGGGUGUGAAAGCCCCGGGGGCUUAACCCCGGGUCUGCAUUCGAUACGGGCAGGCUAGAGUGUGGUAGGGGGAGAUCGGAAUUCCUGGUGUAGCGGUGAAAAUGCGCAGAUAUCAGGAGGAACACCGGUGGCGAAGGCGGAUCUCUGGGCCAUUACUGACGCUGAGGAGCGAAAGCGUGGGGAGCGAACAGG